UUGAGUUGACGAUUAUUGUCGAGUAAGCAGUCUGGCAGUACUGCAGCCACUGAGGAGGAGGAGGAGAAGGAGGAGAAGAAGAAGAAGAAAAAAAGGGGGGCUUGUCCUUGAGCCAGUAGCAACAACCAUCAGAAUUAGCUCAUUGUUAAGAAUAUAGCUGGCUGGUUGGCUACAGACGUAGUCAGUCGGUUAAAAGCAGCCUUGGGGUGGGUGCUUCCUCCCAAGGCUGCAGGCUGCCCCUCUUGAAUUUGCAGUCAUUUUUCUUACAAACCGGCAUUGUUCUGUUUUCUGUAUCAGUAGCUACGGCAUUUUCUAACUUACAGUAAAACCAGAGGUUUUUGUCCAACUGCUUUGCAAUCCUGACGCUGCAGUCCUUGCACUGCUACAGAAGAUAAUCAUGAUACAAGCUUCAGCUUCUAAGUGAAACCAGCACUCAAACCAUGGAGGAUUGCCUGAGGGCUGUUUGCAGGUUCCCUCCGCUUGCCGGACCAAAGGGGAACACCAACGCAAAAUCAACAUUCCUUUCAAAAGACGUUGGAUGAACAGGCCCGCAACUACACCAACAGAUGGGGAAAAAUAUUAGUAGUAUCCUCCUGUAUAUUUUUUAUUUCCCGUAUCAUGUAUCCUACAUUCUGAUUCUUUAAAAAAAAAAAAAAAAAAAAAACAUUUAGUGUGUGAGUAUAGAUGAGAUCAUGACACACAUGGGAUCUUUUGUCCCCCUCUGUUUAUGUAAUUAAUAACAUGUAGGUAUAUUUGGGACUCUAAGCCUUGAUGAUGCAUUGUUUCUUUUGUUUUUUUUUUUUUUGUUGUGGAGGGGAGAGGUAAAACUCCAAAUGACACAAAAAAAAACUUGAGACAGACUUGAGCAGCAUCAGCAAUCCUACAAUUUGUCUGUUUACAAACUCUACAGGUGAGCCUCGUUUGAGGCUCUAAAUACCCUUGCAGCAGCAUGUCUUCCACACGUCAACUGUUCGCAUUGAAACGGUACCCUGGAACCUUUUCUUUAUGUGUACACACUCUUGACAGUAUUUUACUGAGGCUGAGAGUCCCCCCCACUUUCCAUUUAGUUACUAAACGCUUGGUAGUUUUCAUCUCCUUUUGGUUUUGUUUUAGUAUUUUUGCUUUUUUAAACUUUUCUAGUAUAAAUCCAUAUUUUAGACAAUGUAUGUUGUGAUGUAUAGAAGUAGCUGUAGAAAUGCAUUGUUUCCUUGUGGUAAGUGACUGAGAUGCUGCCACGGAUUUGAGACACUGAUGAAUGGUGCUAUUUUGGACUUUUAUCUGCUCCUUGGUAAGGUAGCUUCGAUGGGUUUUUAUUUUAUAUUUUCAUGUUCUAAGAAGGUGUUGGUUCUUUGUUGUCUGGUUGUUGUAACUUGGUCUGGAUUGACUUGUUUUUCUGUUGUUUUCUGUGCGGCUUUCACAUUGGGCGUUAAAAAAAAAAAACAAGUGAAGGGAAAAGUUUUUAAAGGCAGGUGGUUUAAACAAGAAAUGGAUUACAUGUAAGGUUAUUACUGAAAUAAAUGGGGCGUGGGAGCAAUCACAAAACUGCAAUCGUAAUACUAGUUUCCCUUUAAUACCAAGAUGUGCAAUUAAACGGAUGAAAUUUAGUUCCCAGCACUAGGCACUUUUUGAAAAUGGAUUUCUCAUACAAGUCUUUCAUAGUUGACUGACAGUGUGGAAACUGAGUGAAUUCUUUUUCCCUUUGAUAUUGAACACAGUCCCGUUUUUGAAAAAUUGUUUGUUAAUUGACAAUAAUUGGUCAUAAAGCAAGGAAAAGUGGGAAAGACACCAGCAUUUAUGAAUUUAAAGUAGAUUUAAAUGUAAUGUAAAAUGCGGUUUCUUGAAAUUUAAUAAAUUGUGAAAACAAAAUAUAGCAUUUAAAAGCUGAAUGAAAGAAGAAAAAAUAUAUAUACCAUCCAGAUGUGUGUAUCUUACUUCAGGGUUUUCAAAUUGCUGCACCUAUUUGUACACCAGCACAAUGCUUUAUAUACCAGAAGUAUGACUGAUGUACUAAAUGUGACACAUUUAUCUCCACCAAGAUGCAGUUUCCAAUCAAGGCAAAUAUGUAGCGUGAAAAACGCAUGACAAUCCUUUCAUUAAUGUCUUUUAAGUGAUAGGUGGUAUCAAUGUACAAUACUUGAAUCAUUUUGUAUGUAAUCUUAGGAGCAUCCUUGAGGGGCAAAAGAAUAAACCAAAAAGCUUAAUUUUGUUACGCUAGUAGUGAUUUAACAUCAAAGUAAUGUCAUCCAGCAUUUGCAGUUUUGUCUUUGCUUCCUAUUAAUUCAUACUAUCUAUGAUUCUAAAUAACCGACUUGAAAGCCCACCCUAGUUCCUUUGCUGUCUUCCGUUUUUCCUCGAUAGUGGGGACCCUCCCAGCUUGUUCUGAUCUUUCCCCUGAUUUUUCUAAUUUUCAACUGCAUGCUUUUUUCCCCUUUUUCUUUUGUAAUUUUUUUUUCUCUUUGCAAUUGUCUUUGUUAGAUUAGGAAUGCCGGCUGAUUUGUACAUUGCCAGUGACUAUAUUAAACGGGUUCUGCAUUAGUUAGUUGAGAUAUAUUGUGUCUGAGGUAAGUUGUUUUUGGUUGAUAAAUACCAGCUUUUGUAACUGUGAUCUUUAAAUAAUACUAUAGAUAUCCCAUGUACUUUUGGCUAUUUUAGCAGUAGUUAAAUAAAUAUGCAAGCUCUUAAA